AACAAGCGAGACCCACGCCAACAGUUGCCAGCUCGUCCUCCGGGAGUGGUGGGGACGACUGUUGGGACCGCCUCUGCUAAAGAGGAGGAAGGAAGUGGGCAACGGUAGGUCAGCAUGCCCCGAAUUAUCUGGGCUACACGCGGGCUACAAUGGGUGGGACAAUGGGUAUCGACACCGAAAGGUGAAGGCAAUCUCCUAAACCCAUCCGUAGUUCGGAUUGUGGGCUGCAACUCGCCCACAUGAAGCUGGAAUCUGUAGUAAUCGUGUCUCAAAAUGGCACGGUGAAUAUGUCCCUGCUCCUU
rnacentral:rRNA from 1 species